AUACGGAGGAUGCGAGCGUUAUCCGGAUUUAUUGGGUUUAAAGGGUGCGCAGGCGGGAGAUUAAGUCAGCGGUGAAAGGCUCGGGCUCAACCGGAGCAGUGCCGUUGAUACUGGGUGUCUUGAAUGCGGUCAAGGCCGGCGGAAUGUGGCGUGGAGCGGUUAAAUGCAUAGAUAUGCCACAGAACACCGAUAGCGAAGGCAGCUGGCCGGGCCUGCAUUGACGCUCAGGCACGAAAGCGUGGGGAUCGAACAGGAUUAGAUACCCUGGUAGUCCACGCUGUAAACGAUGGACACUCGUUGUCGGCGACAGACAGUCGGCGGCCAAGCGAAAGUGAUAAGUGUCCCACCUGGGGAGUACGGUCGCAAGGCUGAAACUCAAAUGAAUUGGCGGGG
rnacentral:rRNA from 1 species